rnacentral:rRNA from 1 species
GACGAACGCUGGCGGCGUGCUUAACACAUGCCAGUCGAACGCAAAGGCCCUGCUUUUGUGGGGUGCUCGAGUGGCGAACGGGUGAGUAACACGUGAGUAACCUGCCCUUGACUUUGGGAUAACUUCAGGAAACUGGGGCUAAUACCGGAUAGGAGCUCCUGCUGCAUGGUGGGGGUUGGAAAGUUUCGGCGGUUGGGGAUGGACUCGCGGCUUAUCAGCUUGUUGGUGGGGUAGUGGCUUACCAAGGCUUUGACGGGUAGCCGGCCUGAGAGGGUGACCGGCCACAUUGGGACUGAGAUACGGCCCAGACUCCUACGGGAGGCAGCAGUGGGGAAUAUUGCACAAUGGGCGGAAGCCUGAUGCAGCAACGCCGCGUGCGGGAUGACGGCCUUCGGGUUGUAAACCGCUUUCGCCUGUGACGAAGCGUGAGUGACGGUAAUGGGUAAAGAAGCACCGGCUAACUACGUG